CUGAACCAUCCUAACAGGUUUCUUUAAUGACCAUAUGAAAUUUGUUAGGGAUGGAGGGGUGGUACCCUUAAUCUAGUCUAUUCAAAACCUUUUUUUCAAUUUAUUUGAUUUGUGCAAGAGUUGAGUUGGCCGAACGUCUCUGUAUUCAGGUGUGAUGACCACGGUAUUCUGGCUUCGAUUUUCCUCUCAAUGCUGAACAAUGUCCAUUGGCUUCCUUUGAAGUGAAGGCAUUCCUCUUCUGAACGCUCGGAUCCCCAAUCAAAAGGAAUCACUUGCUUCAAAUUUGAGCAUACUUGGAAGAACCGUUUGUGAGCCUUGAUCCAAUCAUGGCAUGGAUUUUGGUGCAGUUUAUGGAAUGUGGAGGGCAUUUAGUGAAGGCAACAUGCUAAAGAGAUGAGUGACGAGGCACAUGAAAUUGAAGCUAAAAAAAAAUCAUGCCCAACGUUCAGUUCCCCGAUUGAAUGAGAGAAUCCUUUCAUCUUUGUCAAGGAGAUCAGUUGCUGCACACCCUUGGCGUGAUCUCGAGAUUGUUGUUGAGAUCACAAAGGGAAGUAAGGUGAAAUAUGAGCUUGACAAGAAGACAGGACUAAUCAAGUUUUGUUUGGUUGCUGAGAAAAUGUUGGAAGCAAUAAGGGCGCCACUGAAAUGUGUUUGAUUCCCAUUUUUCUGUUCUUUUCUUCCUGAGUUUUCUUGGCAACCAAGCAAAGAUGGGUUUCACUGUGAUUGUGGGUUGAUUUUUGGGAGAGGAGAUGGGGAUGAUUGACGAAGAUGGGGGAGAUCGACGACAGAGAUGGGCGACAGCGGGAAUGAUGGGCGGUAGAGAUGCUUGGCGAUAGUGGCAGGAGAAGACGAAAUGACUGAGAACAUGGAACAUGAGAGGUCUGGGAUCAGAUGAAUAGUCUGGUGUGAUGCACUCUAUUGACUUAAUGUGAAAUAAGUUAUGUGUCAAAAUUUAAUUGGAGGCUGUUAAUGGGUCAAUAGCAGACCGACUGCUCCAAAGUGGUUCCCUUAGACUAAAUACUAAAUAGUGUGUAUUAGAGAGAACAACUAUCAAGCAGAAUGCUUUUUUUGGUUGGUUAGACAUUGUAUAUUGUAAAACACAAUCGAUGUCAAUUUUGGUCAUAUUAGUAGCUCAUACCUUGGAUCUUUUUUAAGUAUGUAAAAAGAAUAUAAGUGCAAUCCAUAGUGUAAGGUAAA